rnacentral:lncRNA from 1 species
UGUGGGUAGCGCACAGUUCCCUUGUUACUCCGCGCGAUGAUCGGAAGUGAGAUUCCAAGACCUUCCUCGCAGCAGAAGUUGUAACCAAGCAAAGUGAGGGAGCUGGGAGCAGCGCGUUUACUACGGCUUGUAUUUUAGUGGUUGAGAAAGAGUAAAACAAUGUGAGGAAGAAAACCGUGCAUAAGUGUUUUGAGGGGAGAAGCUACAUGAUCUUUCAGAGAAAGUGCAAGGAAGAUAAUUGUACUCUAACUGGUAAGUGAGGAGGGAUCAUAAGGAGACCUGAGGGCCAAACACAAGCUAGCAUAGGUCACACACAUUUCCCACCUCCCCCACCCAGGUGGGAUAAGUAUGACAUUCCUCAGGCACUCCUGGCUGCCCAAGUACAAAAGAAAGGACAGAAAGCAAACGGUCAAACUGAGAGCGUCUCCAGCAGUUUACAAAUAUCUUAGUAAAUUGCAAGAAAAAGGUAAUCUUAGCAAUAGCCUAAUCUCCAGAAACUGUCGUUUCCGGAGCCCCAACAUCACCCUCCCCUCCAUGGUGAUGUGGGGAAACAAAGGCGAGAAGGAAAUGGCAAAUAAAAUGGAAUUUCCUUAUAACCUGUAGCCCGUUGACAAAUACUUGAAGCAGGCAGAGUUUUCUCCAGGAACUCUUAACGUGUUAAUGUUAAUGAUUUGCUAGAGGUGAAAACAACCUUAGCUUGACAAUAGUUAGGCCUCCAGUAAUCUGUGAGUGUUUAGCAUAUGGAAAUCUCUUGAAGAAACUUCCGGUCUUGACUUUACCUCCCCAGCCCCAUAGUAUAUAACUCUUCACAACCCCAGUGCAGCUCUUUCUGCCCAUGGGUCCUGUCCCAGUGCUUUAAUAAAAUCAUCCUUUUGCACCAAAGACAUCUCCCAAGAAUUUUUUCUUGGCUAUCAGCUCCCAACCUCACCAUUCCCCUAAAGCCCCAUCAGAAAGUACUUAACCUAUAUAUUAUUUAGCCCAUGUCCCUAAGCCUCAAGGUUGUGACAUGAUAAGCAACGACUCGCUUUUUUUUUUUUUAAUGUGUAUUUAUUUUUGGCAGAGAGAGAAGGGGGCAGCGGAUCGGAAGCAGAAUCCCUGCUGACAGCAGAGAACCUGAUGCAGGGCUCAAACCCACAGACUGAGAUCAUGACCUGAGCUGAAGUCGGAUGCUUAACCUACUGAGCCACCUAGGUGCCCUGGCAACUACUUAGUUAAUAUGUACAGAAAUGUUAACAAGUUAGGGUGUUAAACAAUAGCUUUUCAGUGUGAUCUUUCCAUUCCUUCUUUGAAAUUGAUAACCUAUCUGUCUCAAAGAUCAGAUCACACCUAUCUGAUACGAAGGAGCUUAAUUUUAUUGAAAAGGUUUUGACGGUGUCCUGCCCACAAAAGUGCAGUUUAGCUAAUACAGGUUCUUUCCUUCGUGGUCCUCACCACAGGCUCUGUGUUUUUCUAAAUUGUGGAAUAGAUCAUCUAUACAAAAGGUGGCGUAAAACACAUGCAGUUAAAAGAAUGAAAAUAAGCUGUCCAGCACCCAGUUUCAUGUAUAGAAUAUUGCUUGGACCAGAACAUGUCAAGGUCCCUACAUGCCUGUCCCGCUGACACCUUUCUCCCUUUCCUCCCUCUACGCCAGGUAAUUGCUGUUUUGAAUUUUGAAUUGACCAUCUCUUUGCUUUACUUUGUAAUUUUUCCCAUCUGUGUUUGUGUUCUUAAAUAACAUUUUUAAUUUUUGCUGGCUUUUUAACACUUUUAAGUGAGCCCUAAUUGACAUAAAAUAAAAG